rnacentral:lncRNA from 1 species
CGAGAGCUUAGGAUCUAUUGUGACUUACCAGUUAGACGUGAGUUGAGUGAUCUGUUUAGUGAGCAUGGUGGGCGAUGAGAGGAGAUAUGUGUUCUCGAGGUGUGAGCAACAUGGAAUGAGACAGGAUAAGUGUGGUGAGAUCUUUUCUUAGGGUCAUUUAUGCAUGUGUUGCAUAUAUGGUUGAUCGUGGUUUGAUUAACUAGGUGUUAUUCUGUGGUUCUGUGCGAACGUGAUUUUGAAAAGAUCUGUGUGUGUGUUAUCCUAUAUAUCUUCAUCGCAUGAUUGUUUGUUCAUUGUGAAUACUUGUUUCUACUUGGAUAUUUUUGACCUUAGCCCUGGUGAGUACAUGGAGCAAGUAUGGUAUGUGUUUCGGUUCGAAACACGAGAUAAGGUUUGUUAUUCCAAUUUUAUUGGAUUACCUUGAUUGAGCAAGUACAAACUGUGUAUUUUGGUUGCUU